UGGCAGACGGGUGAGUAACAUGUGGGUAUCUACCCUUUGGCCUGGAAUAACACGAGGAAACUUGUGCUAAUACCGGAUAAGUCUUUACGGAGAAAGCUUUAUGCACCAUUGGAUGAGCCCGCACUUGAUUAGUUUGUUGGUGGGGUAAUGGCCUACCAAGACUGUGAUCAAUAGCUGAUUUGAGAGGAUGAUCAGCCACAUUGGGACUGAGACACGGCCCAAACUCCUACGGGAGGCAGCAGUGGGGAAUCUUGCACAAUGGAGGAAACUCUGAUGCAGCGAUGCCGCGUGAGUGAAGAAGGCCUUUGGGUUGUAAAGCUCUUUCGUCGGGGAAGAAAAUGACUGUACCCGAAUAAGAAGGUCCGGCUAACUUCGUGCCAGCAGCCGCGGUAAUACGAAGGGACCUAGCGUAGUUCGGAAUUACUGGGCUUAAAGAGUUCGUAGGUGGUUAAAAUAGUUGGUGGUGAAAUCCCAGAGCUUAACUCUGGAACUGCCAUCAAAACUUUUUAGCUAGAGUAUGAUAGAGGAAAGUAGAAUUUCUAGUGUAGAGGUGAAAUUCGUAGAUAUUAGAAAGAAUACCGAUUGCGAAGGCAGCUUUCUGGAUCAUUACUGACACUGAGGAACGAAAGCAUGGGUAGCGAAGAGGAUUAGAUACCCUCGUAGUCCAUGCCGUAAACGAUGUGUGUUAGACGUUGGAAAUUUAUUUUCAGUGUCGCAGCGAAAGCAAUAAACACACCGCCUGGGGAGUACGACCGCAAGGUUAAAACUCAAAUGAAUUGACGGGGACCCGCACAAGUAGUG
rnacentral:rRNA from 1 species